ACACUUCAGCGGUUCCUAUCGUCACACAAACGCCUCUUCAUGCAUGUUGCCCUAGGGUUGCUUGGACUUGCUCAAGUUCACAUUUUAGGUAACGGCAACAGCUGGGUGCUUAUCAUUAAUCAAUUAUUUACAGUUGUGGACAAUAAGGCAAGGGGCUGAAACAACUUACCCAAUGACACAUAGCAGGGGAGGAGGAGAAGGUGGAAGUUCAGAUUAGACGGUUUGGUCAUGAAGUUCUCUCCUGGCUUCAAGCUGCUGAUGUUAUGAGUUCUUCGCUCCCAGCCACGUGUUUGCUGCUUUACUCUAGACCAUCUCUGAUGAGAAGAUGAAAUAGGGAAGCAACAAUCAUAAAAUCAGUUCCCUAGAAGAGGGAACUCAACAGCCCAAAUCCUUCUCGCAGGACUAUCCAGGAACCUCAGGUUCAGAUGUCUGCGGAGGCGACUCAGAUCCUCAUACUAAAUACACGAGUGCUAUGCGGUGCAUCGUGCCUGGGACCUUUCCCACAAGAUCAUGAGAAGGGCGGUGUUUGCUGAUUUUGCGUUGCUGUCAGCUGUCUUAGCAUCUGCCUCCUUAGCAAGAUUCCUCCUCUUUGCUGCACGCUGCAAUUUGGAGCGGUGAUGGCACAUGCUUGGCUUCCAGCCUCUUUCCGCUUUAGGAACGGCUGUGUCAGUAGCCCUCUACCUGCGUAGCCCCAUGGAGAGCGCGGAUCCUCCAGGAUGGGAGGUGUUGUAUAAAUAUCCGAUGGCCUUGUUAAUAACUAAGAGCACGUGCAGUAUACCGCGAGGAUUCCCUGGUUCCUGCAGCUUGGUCAAAUUGAGAUCGAGCGAUAUCUUCUAACCACUAAAAAACAGCGUAACUAUAUCCCAGAGCUCGAGGCUGACCUCAGAUAGAGGUGUGAAGAGCUCUUCUUGCCUUUCUUCUGCAGCGCUGGAGCUCUCACUGCAGGAAGCAAUGUAAGCAUAUUCCCUGAAAAGCCUGUCAACGGAUAAGAACAUUUUUCAACUGCGCUUCCAAAGUUCAGUCAGAAGUGACCUCCCAAACCCCAGGAUGCUGUUAGAAAAGGAGUUUUUCUUAACAGACAAAAGCUAAGGGGGGUUUUCUAGCCCAAAGCAAAAAGUACUGGUUUUCAACAAGAACUCUUGAUAAGCAGUCUAGUGCCUUCACUUCCUCAGAUGUACGCAGCUAUGGGUAGCUCAAAGCUAUAAGGAACAAUUACAAAACACUUAAUAACGAGGAAUCACAGACCCAGCUCUCAGCUGAGUUGAUUUAGACCCUUCUGCUUCCAGGCAGACGAUAUUAAUUCCUUGUUUACUGUGAGUUCCUUUCCAACAAAUCCUUAAGGCCCCAGUGCUCUAUCAUUAUUUUCUACAAGAGAAGGAUUUGCCCCAUAUGGUAACCAAAAUUUACUCUUGCUGAUGUUGUAUAGAGAGCUCUUGGGCCCUUAGUUCUGGCCCAGAUGUGGCCAGGUGAUUUUUAACCCGACAUGGGACUCUUUCCCAAAUGUUUUGAGCCGAAGGCAAUAGGUACGUUUUGUUUUUUUUCAAAGGGGGGAGACAGUGUUGAAGGAAUACUCAACAGCUACAAAACCGAGCACCAUUUACGUGCUCAGAUGGAUGGCUAUAUAAUACAUUAGGCAUGCCCGAUGCAUUGAUGUUAAUGUUGUGUCUUCUACUCAUCUUUAAGAAUAUAUGUAGCCUUGUAUUUUCCAUGCUUUGUUUUGGGACGUAUUUAGUUGUCAUGCUCUAAAUGUUUGAUUGUAAAUUCCAGAAGGAAGAACAAGAAGUUAUUUUUAACCCAGCUGUUAAAAAUUUGUGAGGAUUUUCUUUGUUGAGCUGAAGUUCCAGUUCCUCG